UACAGAGGUGGCAAGCGUUGUUCGGAAUUACUGGGCGUAAAGGGCGCGUAGGCGGUUCGUUAAGUCCUGUGUGAAAUCCCCCGGCUCAACUGGGGAACUGCACAGGAAACUAGCGGGCUUGAGUUCGGGAGAGGGAAGCGGAAUUCCAGGUGUAGCGGUGAAAUGCGUAGAUAUCUGGAGGAACACCGGUGGCGAAGGCGGCAUCCUGGACCGGCAUUGACGCUGAGGCACGAAAGCGUGGGGAGCAAACAGG
rnacentral:rRNA from 1 species